CCUACGGGAGGCAGCAGUGGGGAAUAUUGCGCAAUGGGGGAAACCCUGACGCAGCAACGCCGACGUGAGUGAGGAAGGACUUCGGUCUGUAAAGCUCUGUUAAUGUGGAAAAAUGGUAGUUGGUCUAAUAGGCCGAUUAUUUGAUGGUACACAUAGAGGAAGCACCGGCUAACUUCGUGCC
rnacentral:rRNA from 1 species